GAUGAACGCUGGCGGCGUGCCUAAUACAUGCAAGUCGAGCGAACAGACGAGGAGUUUGCUCCUCUGACGUUAGCGGCGGACGGGUGAGUAACACGUGGAAAACCCACCUAUAAGACUGGGAUAACUUCGGGAAACCGGAGCUAAUACCGGAUAAUAUAUUGAACCGCAUGGUUCAAUAGUGAAAGACGGUUUUGCUGUCACUUAUAGAUGGCUUCGCGCCGCAUUAGCUAGUUGGUAAGGUAACAGCUUACCAAGGCAACGAUGGGUAGCCGACCUGAUCGGCGGAUCGGCCGCACGGGAGCUGGAACGCGGUCCAGACUCCUGCGGGAGGCAGCAGUAGGGAAUCUUACGCAAUGGGCGAGAGCCUGACGCAGCGGCGGCGAGUGAGUGAUGAAGGUCUUCGGAUCGGAAAACUCUGUUAUGAGGGAAGAACAAAUGUGUAAGUAAAUAUACACGUAUUGACGGUACCUGAACAGAAAGCCACGGCUAACUACGUG
rnacentral:rRNA from 1 species